AACAUAAAAUCAAAAUAAGAAUGAAAACAAACUAGCAUUUCACCCUAAUUAACAUCAAGUAGUAAAUUAGCUCCAACUAACUAUGAGCAAUUUCAAUUAUGAAUAGAAUAUGACAAAACAAGAAAUUUGGCUAAUAUAUCAUUCCAACACCAAAUGAGAUAGCAAUUGACGAAAGGUGAGAUGGAACGGACCUUUCAUAUCAAAAACACUUCUUGAAUACAAGGGUGGGAAUUCUACAAGAACAACUCGACCAAGAGAAGACAGGACUCGCUCGCAACCUAGCAAACUCGACUAGAUUUGCACAGCUAUUUCGAGUGUAAAGGAGUCGUGUCGAUGGAUGUUUGCGGCUGGCACUGGACGGUAUUUCAUUUGAUCUUUGGUUCUGAUUUUGGGAUAGUUUUUCUGGGAUUUUUGGACUAGUUUUUCAGCAAUUUCGCAGCUGGUUUGUCUGCUCUUUGGAGCUAUUUUGCGGACAGUUUUUAAGGUCAAUUCGGGUGACGUUUUAGGGGUUGAAUUUCAGCAUGGUUUAGGGCUCUUUUCGUGGUGGUUUUAAGUGUUUUUGGGGUGUUUGAGCUAAAUUUUUUGAGGUUGGAAAUCUAUGGAAGAAGCUAGAUUUUGGGUGAAGCCACAUCGGGUUUCAGCUACGUUUUUUGGGAUGCUUUUGGUUGCUUCAUGUCACUGAUAUUAGAUGGUCCUAUGGUUAGUUUUGUCAUCAGAAGGGCUGGCCUUACAUGGCUAUGAAAAUUUGAUCGAAAAAAGAGAAUGAAU
rnacentral:lncRNA from 1 species